rnacentral:lncRNA from 1 species
CGCCGUCUGUUAUGCGACCACUGGAGUCACACUGUAUAUGCCUUUCGUCUUGUGCUUGAGAGGAUAUGUGUUAGAAUUUCCAUAUAAGAUGAGAUUUAUUGACUAAAAAGUAUGUUUAUAAGUGGUGGGUUGUCCUUAUUUUGGAAUCCAAUAUUGUAGUUUGAGUCAGGUUUAACACAAUUUCUAAUAUCAUCUGAAGGAAGAUUGAAAACUCAAUUUAGUCUUUUGUAAUUUUCUCGUAAUUCAAUCUAAUCAUCGAUAAAAAAAAU